CUGAGUGUUGCGGGCUCUGCCUGCACGUACUCUCACCCAUGUCUUUUGCGUACCGUGUGUUUCCUCGGCGGGUCAGCCCGCCGCGAGGACCCUACAUCUAAACCUUUUUUUUUGCAGUUGCAGUCAGCGUCUGAAAACAACAUAAAUGGUUA
rnacentral:misc_RNA from 1 species